GAUGAACGCUGGCGGCGUGCCUAACACAUGCAAGUCGAACGAAGCACCUUACCUGAUUCUUCGGAUGAAAGUUUGGUGACUGAGUGGCGGACGGGUGAGUAACGCGUGGGUAACCUGCCCUGUACAGGGGGAUAACAGCUGGAAACGGCUGCUAAUACCGCAUAAGCGCACGAGGAGACAUCUCCUCGUGUGAAAAACUCCGGUGGUACAGGAUGGGCCCGCGUCUGAUUAGCUGGUUGGCAGGGUAACGGCCUACCAAGGCAACGAUCAGUAGCCGGUCUGAGAGGCUGAACGGCCACAUUGGAACUGGGACACGGUCCAAACUCCUACGCGAGGCAGCAGUGGGGAAUAUUGCACAAUGGGGGAAACCCUGAUGCAGCAACGCCGCGUGAGUGAAGAAGUAUUUCGGUAUGUAAAGCUCUAUCAGCAGGGAAGAUAAUGACGGUACCUGACUAAGAAGCUCCGGCUAAAUACGUG
rnacentral:rRNA from 1 species